UGAGGGAGAGCUGCAAAGUACUCUGAAGAGAGAGUUCAAAAGGACGUGAAACCGUCUGCAGGGAAACGGGUGAGACCGCACGGUAGACCCGCNGCGGAUUCAGCUCGCGGGGCCGGGCUCGCCCUCGGUCUGGGGUCCUGGCGUCUCGGCGCCAGGUCCCCGGCCUGGGGCGGGUCCUCCUCGCGGGUUGCACUUCCGCNCCAGCGGGUCGCGCAGGGCCCGACUCUGCNGCCGUCUGAAGCCCGGCGAGGAGGUGACGGGGUCCUCGCAGACCCCGAGUCUAACUCGCCGGGGCGGAGACCGGCUGMGGGGUCGAGGAACGUCUGUCCGUCGUAAGACGCGUGGGCCGCGGUCGGCCCGUCGGUCCGACUGGGCUGGAGCCAUGAAAUGUGUGGCUGCUCCCGACCGCCGGCGGGUCCCUCCGCCGUCCGUCGCCGGACNACCGGGACGCCUGUGCUCAGGUCGGCACCUCACCCGACCC
rnacentral:rRNA from 1 species